rnacentral:rRNA from 1 species
AACGUAGGAGACAAACGUUAUCCGGAGUUACUGGGCGUAAAGGGCGUGUAGGUGGUUUCGUAAGUCUGGCGUGAAAUUUUUCGGCUUAACCGGGAAAGGUCGUCGGAUACUGCAAAACUAGAGGACGGUAGAGGCGUGUGGAAUUCCGGGUGUAGUGGUGAAAUGCGUAGAGAUCCGGAGGAACACCAGUGGCGAAGGCGACACGCUGGGCCGUACCUGACACUGAUGCGCGACAGCAUGGGGAGCAAACAGG